rnacentral:lncRNA from 1 species
UCGUCUCGACUAGCUGAACAUGCUCACCAAAUUUGAGCGCGAUUCGACUUGGGACGGGUGAGAUAUGAGCAUCGAAGUCACUAGUCGUGACUGUCCCUUCCAUGGCGUGGAGUUGCAGGGUGGCCGCACGGGAAUAGCGUGCGGCCCCUCCUGUUUCACUCUUUUUCCUAUAACGUCUUCUUGGAGUGUCUGUUCGAGCUUAAAUAUGACCCUUACGGGUUUUCAACUAUAUCGGUUCCAAUGAUCAUGGUCUCACAGUAAAUUGAGAUGCCGAAAAUGUAGCUCUAGUUAUAUGUUCUAUUUCAAGGUGCUAGAGGCCGAUUUUAUUGUAACCAUUUCUCAGUAUGCAAUGCCUUAGACAUGUCAGAGUGCAACGAAACUUGGCAUGAGACUUUUGAGAGACCUCAGAAGAUCUUGGCCAGUUCUGAGGCUAUUUUGAGACUGUCAGAAUUUGCACUUUUUGCUAGGCCUUUAUUGAGC